GGCUCCGUGGCGCAAUUGAAUAGCGCACUGGAUUUCGGCUCCAGCGGUUAUAGGUUUGAAUCCUAUCGGAGUCA
rnacentral:tRNA from 1 species